AGUGGGGAAUCUUGCACAAUGGAGGAAACUCUGAUGCAGCGACGCCGCGUGAGCGAUGAAGCCCUUCGGGGUGUAAAGCUCUUUCGACCCGGACGAAAGCCCGCAAGGGCCUGACGGUACGGGUAUAAGAAGCCCCGGCUAACUACGUGCCAGCAGCCGCGGUAAAACGUAGGGGGCCAGCGUUGCUCGGAAUUACUGGGCGUAAAGGGUCCGCAGGCGGUGUGGCAAGUCGGGAGUGAAAUCUCUGGGCUUAACUCAGAGGCUGCUUUCAAAACUGCCGUGCUCGAGUGCGAGAGAGGCCAGUGGAAUUGCAGGU
rnacentral:rRNA from 1 species